CUGGUUGAUCCUGCCAGUAGUCAUAUGCUUGUCUCAAAGAUUAAGCCAUGCAUGUCUAAGUUCAAGCGAAAAUAAAGUGAAACCGCGAAUGGCUCAUUACAUCAGUUAUGGUUCCUUAGAUCGCACUUACUACUUGGAUAACUGUGGUAAUUCUAGAGCUAAUACAUGCACUGAGCUCCAACCCUCGUGGAAGGAGCGCUUUUAUUAGAUCAAAGCCAAUCGGGCCUUCGGGUCCGUACCGUUGGUGACUCUGAAUAACUUUGCUGAUCGCAUGGUCUCGUACCGGCGACGUAUCUUUCAAGUGUCUGCCUUAUCAACUGUCGAUGGUAGGUUAUGCGCCUACCAUGGUUGUAACGGGUAACGGGGAAUCAGGGUUCGAUUCCGGAGAGGGAGCCUGAGAAACGGCUACCACAUCCAAGGAAGGCAGCAGGCGCGCAAAUUACCCACUCCCGGCACGGGGAGGUAGUGACGAAAAAUAACGAUACGGAACUCACAUGAGGCUCCGUAAUCGGAAUGAGUACACUUUAAAUCCUUUAACGAGGAUCUAUUGGAGGGCAAGUCUGGUGCCAGCAGCCGCGGUAAUUCCAGCUCCAAUAGCGUAUAUUAAAGUUGUUGCGGUUAAAAAGCUCGUAGUUGGAUCUCGGUUUCGGGCGGGUGGUGCGCCUUGCGGUGUUUACUGUCUGCCCGGACGAUUUUGUUGGUUCGUUCGUGGUCCUCUUAACCGAGUGCCACGGGUGGCCAGCACGUUUACUUUGAAAAAAUUGGAGUGCUCAAAGCAGGCGCUACAGCCUGAACAUUAGUGCAUGGAAUAAUGGAAUAGGACCUCGGUUCUAUUUCGUUGGCUUUCGGAGUCGAGGUAAUGAUUAAUAGGAACAGACGGGGGCAUUCGUACUGCGACGUUAGAGGUGAAAUUCUUGGAUCGUCGCAAGACGAACUACUGCGAAAGCAUUUGCCAAGAAUGUUUUCAUUAAUCAAGAACGAAAGUUAGAGGUUCGAAGGCGAUCAGAUACCGCCCUAGUUCUAACCAUAAACGAUGCCGACCGGCGAUCCGCCGUCGUUAAUUGAAUGACUCGGCGGGCAGCCUCCGGGAAACCAGAGUGUUUGGGUUCCGGGGGAAGUAUGGUUGCAAAGCUGAAACUUAAAGGAAUUGACGGAAGGGCACCACCAGGAGUGGAGCCUGCGGCUUAAUUUGACUCAACACGGGAAAUCUCACCAGGCCCGGACACCGGAAGGAUUGACAGAUUGAGAGCUCUUUCUUGAUUCGGUGGGUGGUGGUGCAUGGCCGUUCUUAGUUGGUGGAGCGAUUUGUCUGGUUAAUUCCGAUAACGAACGAGACUCUGGCCUACUAACUAGAUGUAGGAUCCCUUUGUGGGUCCGUCACUGCUUCUUAGAGGGGCGGGCGGCUUUUAGCCGCACGAGAAUGAGCAAUAACAGGUCUGUGAUGCCCUUAGAUGUUCUGGGCUGCACGCGCGCUACACUGAAGGAAUCAGCGUGUGUUCCCUACCCGAAAGGGUUGGGAAACCCGUUGAACCUCCUUCGUGAUGGGGAUUGGGGAUUGCAAUUAUUCCCCAUGAACGAGGAAUUCCCAGUAGGCGCGAGUCAUAAGCUUGCGUCGAUUACGUCCCUGCCCUUUGUACACACCGCCCGUCGCUACUACCGAUCGAGUGAUUUAGUGAGGACUUCGGACUGGUCUUCGUGGUGGCUCUCGAGUCAUGACGGAGUUCCGGAAAGAUGCCCAAACUUGAUCACUUAGAGGGAGUAAAAGUCGUAACAAGGUUUCCGUAGGUGACCUGCA
rnacentral:rRNA from 1 species